rnacentral:rRNA from 1 species
CUUCAAGAAAAACCACAUAAGACCAUUGUCUACAUGUCUAAUUAAAGAACACAGUAAGAACAAAGGACGUAUGGCUUAACUUUUUAAUUAAGUGAAACGCAAUUAAGCAGACAGAUCACUCCACGAACUAAGAACGGCCAUGCACCACCUAUCACACAAUCAUGAAAGGACUAGCAUAUUUGUUAUACAACACAGCUUUGGCUUUUUUUAUUUUUUUAAAUGAAUAAAAAAGAAAAAAGAAAAACAUGUGAAGUAUGCUCCUGUCAAUCCUCAAUAUGUCCGGACCCGGUAAGUUUCCCCGCGUUGGGUCAAAUUAAGCCACAUGCUCCACGCGUUCUUGUGGUGCCUUUCCGUCAAUUCCUUCAAGUUUCACACGUGCGU